GCGUCGAUAGUUUAAGGGUAGAAUGUGAGCUUCCCAUGCUCACGGUCCGGGUUCGAGUCCCGGUCGACGCA
rnacentral:tRNA from 1 species